AAUGAACGCUGGCGGCGUGGAUUAGGCAUGCAAGUCGAACGCGAAAGUUCCCUUCGGGGAGCGAGUAGAGUGGCGAAAGGGUGAGUAAUGCUUGGAUGACCUGCCCUCGAGACGGGGACAACAGUUCGAAAGGACUGCUAAUACCCGAUAGUCCGGUUUAGAUGCGUCUAGAUCGGUAAAUGGUGCUUCCGCUCGAGGAGGGGUUCAAGUCCUAUCAGCUUGUUGGUGAGGUAACGGCUCACCAAGGCGAUGACGGGUAGCCGGACUGAGAGGUUGGCCGGCCACAUGGGAACUGAGACACUGUCCUGACCU
rnacentral:rRNA from 1 species